AUGAAAUGCCCAAACUUCUUCCACUGAGAUUGUGGAAACCUGUUCUUGGAUCACCUGAUGCAACGAAGAUAAUUGCUAAAAGUAUCCCUCUGGGCGUUUGUUCAUGGAAAUACUGUCGAACAAUAUCUCUGUUCGAUACUGAUGAAUAUUCUUAAUUUGUUGUUAUAUUAUUUAAAAUUAUUAUAAAUGAUUUUAUUUCAUAAUUAUAUAUAUUGCAUUUCAAGAAAAAUGAGAGUUGAUAUAUCAAUAUGUUUAAACUAUAUGAUGUAAAAAUUUCUUACUAAACGAAAAGAAAAUGUAAAAUAAUCAUAAUAAAUAUAAUGGUAAU
rnacentral:misc_RNA from 1 species